GAUAGCGCACAGCCCCGUAGGAUGGCGGUCAGCCCCCUCUGGCGACGCUCAGCCCCACAGCGCACAUCCCUCAGCCCCUCCCCUCCCACCGGGACCCCCUUUCCCCCCCCAUCCGCCCCACACCGCCCCACACGGCCCGUUUCUGUGGGGCCGCCCCCCCGACGUGUCUCUGCCCGUUCCUUUCCCGUCCGGACUUUCAGGUUCCGGGGCCGCUUUCGGAUCGCGGCGCCGCGGCGUUGUAUGGGGCGGACGGUGGGGCGGCCGAUGGGGUCGGGGGGGACCGCGACCCAUCGCCCCAUCGGGUCGGGAUCCCCGCGGGCUCCGGGCUGACGUCGGGGUUCCGUGCGGGGCUCGGAGGGGUGCGGGACGGACCCCCCCCACCCCCCCCAUCCCCCCAUAUAACUCCGUCCGUGGGUCCGGAACUCCUCGCCUCGCGUGGGGCCUCGAGGGCCGCUCGGCCCCCCCGCCCCAUUUCCGCUCCCCGUCCCGCAGCGCUCCCCGCACGGACGGCCCCCGCAGCGCCCCGCGCUCCGCAAUGCUUCGGCUGCUGUGGGGCGCCGUGUGGGGCGCGAUGUGGGGCGCGCUGCUCAUCCGCGCUCAGCGCCCACCCCGCCUCAGCGUCCCCGUCGGUGAGCCGCUGUGGGGCGGAAUGGGG
rnacentral:lncRNA from 1 species